GUGCUUGGUCCUGGUUGACGAGCGGCGGAGGGGUGAGUAUAGUGUGGGAAACUGCCCGAGGGGGGGGGAGAACUCCGGGAAACGGGAUCUAAAACCGCAUAACGUCCCACAACCAAAAAGGGGGACCUUCUGGCCUCUUGUCAUCUCAUGUGCCCCGAUGGGAUUAGCUCGUAUGGGGGGGAACGGCUCACCUAGGCGACAAUCCCUCUCUGGGCUGAGAGAAUGACCCCCCACACUGGAACUGAGACACGGUCCCCACUCCUACGGGAGGGACCAGUGGGGAAUAUUGCGCAAUGGGCGCAAACCUGAUACACCCAUGCCCCGUGUGUAAAAAAAGCCUUCUGGUUUUAAAGUAUUUUUUCCGGGGAGAAAGGGGUUUUGUUUAAUAACCCCACCGAUUGAGGUUACCCCCAGAAAAAACACCGGCUAUCUCCGUGCCCCCACCCCCGGUAAUAUGGAGGGUGCGAGCGUUAUUCUCAAUUUCUGGGCGUAUAGCGCACUCACGCGGUCUGUCACGUCUGAUGUGAAAUCCCCGGGCUCAACCUGGGAACUCCGUUCUAAACUGGGGAGCUAUAGUCUUGUGUAGAGGGGUAGAAUUCUCCGUGUAUCGGUGAAAUGCGUAUAGAUCUGGAGAAAUACCGGUGGCGAAAGCGGCCCCCUGUACACAAACUGUCACUCUCGUGCGAAAGCGCGUGGAGAGCACAGGAUUAUAUACCCUGAUAUACCACGCCCUACACGCUGUCUCCUCGUAGGUUGUGCGCUUGAGGAGGUGGCUUCCCGCAUCUCACACGCUUAUGUCUACAGCCUGAGGAGUACAGCCGUCACGACUGUAUACUCUAAUGCAUAUACGAGGGGACCGCACGAGACGCGG
rnacentral:rRNA from 1 species